AGUGAACGCUGGCGGUAGGCCUAACACAUGCAAGUCGAACGGCAGCACAGUAAGAGCCUGCUCUUACGGGUGGCGAGUGGCGGACGGGUGAGGAAUACAUCGGAAUCUACUUUUUCGUGGGGGAUAACGUAGGGAAACUUACGCUAAUACCGCAUACGACCUACGGGUGAAAGCAGGGGAUCUUCGGACCUUGCGCGAUUGAAUGAGCCGAUGUCGGAUUAGCUAGUUGGCGGGGUAAAGGCCCACCAAGGCGACGAUCCGUAGCUGGUCUGAGAGGAUGAUCAGCCACACUGGAACUGAGACACGGUCCAGACUCCUACGGGAGGCAGCAGUGGGGAAUAUUGGACAAUGGGCGCAAGCCUGAUCCGGCCAUACCGCGUGGGUGAAGAAGGCCUUCGGGUUGUAAAGCCCUUUUGUUGGGAAAGAAAAGCAGCAGGUUAAUACCCCGCUGUUCUGACGGUACCCAAAGAAUAAGCACCGGCUAACUUCGU
rnacentral:rRNA from 1 species